rnacentral:lncRNA from 1 species
AUUUCAUAGAUGAGGGAACUAAGGCAAUUGAGAAUAAAGAGGUGUGGGGGUGGUUGGAUGAGUUACAUUUUAAUUUCCUGGAACCCAAAAAUGUUCCACUGUGAAGCCCAGAUUAUAAAUUCAAAUUAAAUCUAGCUCAAGGCAAAAGAAAACCUGCACCAUUAACGAUUCCCCACCAACUUCAAAAGCAGGAUUGGGCCACAAGGUAGAGAAACAGAGGUUAUAGAAGGUGCUGGGAGCUUUGCAUUGGCUGUGCUUAACAGAGCAAAAUAAGUGCUGAACUGGCAGGUUGCUGGCCACAGCCCCGGAGGCUCUGGGACAGGACAAGACCAAGGGACCUGGAAGUCUCUGGCUGCUCCUUUAUCGGGAGUCCCGGGUGCAGGUGUUGUUUCUAAACAGUGUACGGCUGCCUAGAAGGAAACAAAGUUGGCUCAGAGCUCAUCUCCCUCCCUCUUGGUUCAGG